rnacentral:rRNA from 1 species
CCUACGGGGGGCACCAGUAGGGAAUCUUCCACAAUGGGCGCAAGCCUGAUGGAGCAACGCCGCGUGUGUGAUGAAGGGUUUCGGCUCGUAAAACACUGUUAUAAGAGAAGAACGGCACUGAGAGUAACUGUUCAGUGUGUGGCGGUAUCUUACCAGAAAGGAACGGCUAAAUACGUGCCAGCAGCCGCGGUAAUACGUAUGUUCCAAGCGUUAUCCGGAUUUAUUGGGCGUAAAGCGAGCGCAGACGGUUAUUUAAGUCUGAAGUGAAAGCCCUCAGCUCAACUGAGGAAUGGCUUUGGAAACUGGAUGACUUGAGUGCAGUAGAGGAAAGUGGAACUCCAUGUGUAGCGGUGAAAUGCGUAGAUAUAUGGAAGAACACCAGUGGCGAAGGCGGCUUUCUGGACUGUAUCUGACGUUGAGGCUCGAAAGUGUGGGUAGCAAACAGGAUUAGAUACCCCCGUAGUC